UACGGAGGGUGCAAGCGUUAUCCGGAUUCACUGGGUUUAAAGGGUGCGUAGGCGGGCAGGUAAGUCCGUGGUGAAAUCUCUGAGCUUAACUCAGAAACUGCCAUGGAUACUAUUUGUCUUGAAUAUUGUGGAGGUAAGCGGAAUAUGUCAUGUAGCGGUGAAAUGCUUAGAUAUGACAUAGAACACCAAUUGCGAAGGCAGCUGGGCUACACGGAUAUUGACACUGAGGCACGAAAGCGUGGGGAUCAAACAGG
rnacentral:rRNA from 1 species